rnacentral:rRNA from 1 species
AUUGAACGCUGGCGGCAGGCCUAAUACAUGCAAGUCGAACGAGUGGCGGACGGGUGAGUAAUGUCUGGGAAACUGCCCGAUGGAGGGGGGUAACUACUGGAAACGGUAGCUAAUACCGCAUACCAUCGGAUGUGCCCAGUUGGGAUUAGCUUGUGGGGGAGGUAACGGCUCACCUAGGCGACGAACCCUAGCUGGUCUGAGGGGCUUACCAGCCACACUGGAACUGGGACACGGUCCGGACUCCAACGGGAGGCAGCGGUGGGCAUAAUCGCACAAUGGGCGCAAGCCUGAUGCAGCCAUGCCGCGUGGAUAAAGAAGGCCGUCGAGUUGUAAAGUACUUUCAGCGUGGAGGCGUUACCCGCAGAAGAAGCACCGGCUAACUCCGUGCCAGCAGCCGCGGUAAUUC